rnacentral:pre_miRNA from 1 species
GUAGUAUUCCCUCCGUCCCAAAUUUUUUGUCUUACAUUUGUUUAGAUACGGAUGUAUCUAACACUAAAAUGUAACUAGAUACAUCCGUAUUUAGAAAAAUUUAAGACAAGAAUUUUGGGACGGAGGGAGUACAAA